rnacentral:tRNA from 1 species
UCCUUGGUUGCCUAGUGGUUAGGAUUCUGGGCUUUCACUGCUGUGGCCCAGGUUCAAUCCCUGGUCAGGGAA